UACGUAGGGUGCGAGCGUUUGUUCGGAAUUACUGGGCGUAAAAGGGCUCGUAGGCGGCCAACUAAGUCAGACGUGAAAUCCCUCGGCUUAACCGGGGAACUGCGUCUGAUACUGGAUGGCUUGAGUUUGGGAGAGGGAUGCGGAAUUCCAGGUGUAGCGGUGAAAUGCGUAGAUAUCUGGAGGAACACCGGUGGCGAAGGCGGCAUCCUGGACCAACACUGACGCUGAGGAGCGAAAGCCAGGGGAGCAAACGGG
rnacentral:rRNA from 1 species